rnacentral:rRNA from 1 species
GUGCCAGCCGCCGCGGUAAUACCGGCAGCCCGAGUGAUGACCGAUCUUAUUGGGCCUAAAGCGUCCGUAGCUGGCUGCGCAAGUCCGUCGGGAAAUCCACUCGCCCAACGAGUGGGCGUCCGACGGAAACUACAAGGCUUGGGACCGGAAGGCUCGAGGGGUACGUCCGGGGUAGGAGUGAAAUCCCGUAAUCCCGAACGGACCACCGAUGGCGAAAGCACUUCGAGAAAACGGAUCCGACAGUGAGGGACGAAAGCCAGGGUCUCCAACCGGAUUAGAAACCCUAGUAGUCC